GACGAACGCUGGCGGCGUGCUUAACACAUGCAAGUCGGACGGAAAGGCCCUGCUUUUGUGGGGUGCUCGAGUGGCGAACGGGUGGGUAACACGUGAGUAACCUGCCCUUGACUUUGGGAUAACUUCAGGAAACUGGGGCUAAUACCGGAUAGGAGCUCCUGCUGCAUGGUGGGGGUUGGAAAGUUUCGGCGGUUGGGGAUGGACUCGCGGCUUAUCAGCUUGUUGGUGGGGUAGUGGCUUACCAAGGCUUUGACGGGUAGCCGGCCUGAGAGGGUGACCGGCCACAUUGGGACUGAGAUACGGCCCAGACUCCUACGGGAGGCAGCAGUGGGGAAUAUUGCACAAUGGGCGGAAGCCUGAUGCAGCAACGCCGCGUGCGGGAUGACGGCCUUCGGGUUGUAAACCGCUUUCGCCUGUGACGAAGCGUGAGUGACGGUAAUGGGUAAAGAAGCACCGGCUAACUACGUG
rnacentral:rRNA from 1 species